GACGAACGCUGGCGGCGUGCUUAACACAUGCAAGUCGAACGGAAAGGCCCUGCUGUUGUGGGGUGCUCGAGUGGCGAACGGGUGAGUAACACGUGAGUAACCUGCCCUUGACUUUGGGAUAACUUCAGGAAACUGGGGCUCAUACCGGAUAGGAGCCCCUGCUGCAUUGUGGGGGAUGGAAAGUUUCGGCGGUUGGGGAUGGACUCGCGGCGUACUAGCUUGUUGGUGGGGUAGUUGAUUACCAAGGCAUUGACGGGUAGCCGGCCUGAGAGGGUGAACGGCCACAUAGGGACUGAGAUACGGCCCAGACACCUACGGGAGGCAGGAGUCGGGAAGGUAGCACAAUGAGCGGAAGCCUGAUGGAGGAACGCCGCGUGCGUGAUGACGGCCUUCGGGUGGUAAGCCGCUUUCGCCUGUGACGAAGCGUGCGUGACGGUAAUGGGUAAAGAAGCACCGGCUAACUACGUG
rnacentral:rRNA from 1 species